CAAAGGUCUGUGGCGGCCAGUCCCAGUGCCUUUGGCUCUCACCACAGCGGUUCCUGGUCCGGGCUCCUGCCCCUCCCGCACGUGCCACGGAGGUGCCAGCAGGGCGAGGGGUCUGCCCCCCGGCAUGCCCACCAGAGGGCCAGGGAGUGGUUUGCGUGCGCCAGGCAGCUCUGCAUUAUGGCCAGGGUCAGGGAGCCGGGUUCUGGGGUCUGUUCACCUGCUCUUGUCCUCCCCCUCCCCGUCCAGGACUGGUCCUCUGGCUGGAGAGGCCAGGCGAGGCCAGGGGCACCUGGUGCCGGUGCCAUCCGUGCAGGAGAUGCCCCAGGCACUCACGCAGCUCACGCACACCACCCCAAGGAGGGUCUACCAUCUCCCUGCUGUCCGUCCCACUGCUGGGACCUGCAGCCCUCCAGCCAAAGCGCUUCGCUGCCCAGGUCCUAGUGGACAGGUUUACCGGGGCCUUUCCGGUUUUACGUGCUGCAAAUCUAGUGACUUGGGAAACCACUUCCAGGGCUUGGAGCCCAAUCCCUUGGGCCUGCCCUUCCUUGGCAGCCGUGCGCCAUGGGUUCUAUUGUAUCUGUUUGAUCCCAGGGCAGCAGCCAAAUGAAGAAGGGAGUGACUGCCCUUCAGGCAGUGGGCCCAGAUGUUCUGUGGGUCCUGCCUGCUCUGCCAGCCGCAUGCUCAACUCCUGUUCACACAGCUUCAGCUCCUUUCCAAACACACAGAGGGGCUUGUGGUUGGUUUUCAGGCCAGGUUCACCCAUCCAGCCAAGUCUGGGAGGCCACCUUGCAGUGAGUGGGGCACAAAACUGUCCAGACUUCCUGUACCACCCUGAGUUGGUCAGUGUUCUGCUUGUCAGCCUGGCACUUGUCAGGGACCAAGAAGAAAUGGCCCCAGGGGCUUUUCCCUGGUCAGACAGAAUUCCUAAAAUAUCUUUACAGGAGUUAUUUCAUUUACUCCUCACCAGAACUCUGAGACAGGUAUUAACAUUAUCCUGAUUUGCCUCAUGAGGCUCAGAGAGAUUAAGA
rnacentral:lncRNA from 1 species